rnacentral:rRNA from 1 species
GGGGAUAACCUUGCGAAAGUAAGACUAAUACCCAAUGAUAUCCCACGAAGGCAUCCGAAUGGGAUUAAAGAUUUAUCGGUGAUGGAUGGGGAUGCGUCUGAUUAGCUUGUUGGCGGGGUAACGGCCCACCAAGGCAACGAUCAGUAGGGGUUCUGAGAGGAAGGUCCCCCACAUUGGAACUGAGACACGGUCCAAACUCCCUACGGGAGGCAGCAGUGAGGAAUAUUGGUCAAUGGGCGAAAGCCUGAACCAGCCAAGUAGCGUGAGGGAAGACUGCCCUACGGGUUGUAAACCUCUUUUGUUUGGGAAUAAAGUGCGGGACGCGUCCCGCAUUGCAUGUACCAUUUGAAUAAGGACCGGCUAAUUCCGUG